rnacentral:rRNA from 1 species
GACGAAGGGGGCUAGCGUUGUUCGGAAUUACUGGGCGUAAAGCGCGUGUAGGCGGUUGUUCAAGUCAGGUGUGAAAGCCUUGAGCUCAACUCAAGGAAUGCACUUGAUACUGGAUGACUAGAGGACCGGAGAGGAUAGUGGAAUUCCCAGUGUAGUGGUGAAAUACGUAGAGAUUGGGAAGAACACCAGUGGCGAAGGCGGCUAUCUGGACGGUUUCUGACGCUAAGACGCGAAAGCGUGGGGAGCAAACAGG